rnacentral:rRNA from 1 species
ACACUCGUAGAGGUGCUGCAUGGCUGUCGUCAGCUCGUGUCGUGAGAUGUUGGGUUAAGUCCCGCAACGAGCGCAACCCUUGUUUGCUGUUGCCAUCAGGUUAUGCUGGGCACUCUGCAAAGACUGCCGGUGAUAAACCGGAGGAAGGUGGGGAUGACGUCAAGUCAGCACGGCCCUUACGUCCUGGGCGACACACACGCUACAAUGGCUGGGACAACGGGACGCCAACCCGCGAGGGGGAGCCAAUCCCAACAAACCCAGUCUCAGUUCGGAUGGGAGGCUGCAACCCGCCUCCCUGAAGUGGGAGUUGCUAGUAACCGUGAGUCAGCACAUCACGGUGAAUACGUUCCCGGGUCUUGUACACACCGCCCGUCACACCACGAAAGUCGGCAACCCCUGAAGCCGCUGGGCUAACUUGUCUUCGGACGAGAGGCAGGCGUCGAGGGUGGGGUCGGUGAUUGGGGUGAAGUCGUAACAAGGUAGCCGUA